CAAUGCUGAGGAGUCCCACAAUAAGGCGAAACAGCCGUCCAGUGG
rnacentral:hammerhead_ribozyme from 1 species